UACGAAGGGGGCUAGCGUUGUUCGGAAUUACUGGGCGUAAAGCGCACGUAGGCGGACAUUUAAGUCAGGGGUGAAAUCCCAGAGCUCAACUCUGGAACUGCCUUUGAUACUGGGUGUCUUGAGUAUGGAAGAGGUGAGUGGAAUUCCGAGUGUAGAGGUGAAAUUCGUAGAUAUUCGGAGGAACACCAGUGGCGAAGGCGGCUCACUGGUCCAUUACUGACGCUGAGUGAGCGAAAGCCAGGGGAGCAAACGGG
rnacentral:rRNA from 1 species